UUUUCCUACGGGGGGCAGCAGUGGGGGAUAUUGCACAAUGGAGGAAACUCUGAUGCAGCGACGCCGCGUGAGGGAAGACGGUCUUCGGAUUGUAAACCUCUGUCUUUGGGGAAGAAAAUGACGGUACCCAAAGAGGAAGCUCCGGCUAACUACGUGCCAGCAGCCGCGGUAAUACGUAGGUGGCAAGCGUUGUCCGGAUUUACUGGGUGUAAAGGGCGUGCAGCCGGGAAGACAAGUCAGAUGUGAAAUCCCGCGGCUCAACCGCGGAACUGCAUUUGAAACUGUUUUUCUUGAGUACCGGAGAG
rnacentral:rRNA from 1 species